UGGUCAAGCGAGAAAGUGCGCACGGCGGAUGCCUAGGCACAGACCGGCGAAGAAGGACGUGGCAAGCUGCGAAAAGCCUCGGGGAGUUGCAAGCAAGCUUAGAUCCGGGGGUGUCCGAAUGGGGAAACCCGGCGGGAGCAGUCCCGUCACCCUGCCACAGGGAGCCAACCCAGGGAACUGAAACAUCUAAGUACCUGGAGGAAAAGAAAUCAA
rnacentral:rRNA from 1 species